GAUGAACGCUAGCGGCAGGCCUAAUACAUGCAAGUCGAACGGGUGGUCGCAAGACCACUAGUGGCGCACGGGUGCGUAACGCGUAACCAACCUGCCCCGAUCUGGGGGAUAGCCCGCCGAAAGGCGGAUUAAUACCGCAUAUACCCGCAGCCUGGCAUCAGGCAACGGGGAAAGAUUUAUUGGAUCGGGAUGGGGUUGCGUGACAUUAGCUAGUUGGCGGGGUAAGGGCCCACCAAGGCGACGAUGUCUAGGGGACCUGAGAGGGUGAUCCCCCACACUGGCACUGAGAUACGGGCCAGACUCCUACGGGAGGCAGCAGUAGGGAAUAUUGGGCAAUGGGCGAGAGCCUGACACAGCCAUGCAGCGUGCCGGAUGAAGGCAUUCUGGGUUGUAAACGGCUUUGCUCAGGGAAGAAAAAGACCUUGCGAGGUACACUGACGGUACCUGAGGAAUAAGCACCGGCUAACUCCGUG
rnacentral:rRNA from 1 species